GCUUAUGUAAAAUCCUGGAGAAUCUUUGGCCCCUGUAAAUAGUGGUCACUUGCGAUGGUCUUUUAUAUAGUUGCAUUUUAGACACCAUUUUAAACAAUAAAUGUCAACACAAAAACAUUAGUUUUUUAACUGUACAAUUUGAUUACAGAGUUUACAGUUUGUAGUUAAUAGAAUUAGAUUAGAGAAAAUAAUAUUACUAUUCUUACUAGCUUCAUAAUGAGUACAAUCUUUCUUUUAGCAGUAUUAUUUGUACAAGUUUACUGUGAUACUAACUUUAAUAACAUUAAUUUACCUGAAGACCAUCUAGCCUACUACUUCCGAAACUUUCCAAAGGUAGCUGACCAAUGUUCCCGAAGCAACAGUUGUUCGUUUAAGAAGUAUUUAGAUAAGGACGUUUGUUGGGGAUACGAGUACGAUUGUGACUGGAGCAAACAGUAUUUAAAACCAUAUUGUCCAGGGGAUCAUAAGGGUUGGGUGAAAACGAAACAUGCUCAAGAGACUACAUUUCAUGCCCAAGCUGAUUUUGGCUAUGUUAAGCAACAAUUGCGAGAAAUGAAGUUGGUUUGUGAACCGCUCUUCCAAGACGAUAGUUCUUUGGAAUGUUCUGAACAUCUGCGUUUCUGUAGAGGCAGAAAUUUAAUGAUAAAUUUUACGAAGUUAGCGAAUAGGGAAGAACCAAUUAGGUAUAAGAUGGAUGUUUUGGGUGAAGGUGAUAUCGGGGGUUACUGUAAUUUGAGGCAAGAUUGGUUGGACGAACAGGCUGAUCAGAUUAGCCCGUUGCAGAGUUGGGGACCUGAGUUACGGUAUUUUAAACAGUUGGACCGUAGACCAAUUAUCGAAGGAGACUGUGAUGUAGUUAUAGACAAGCCAACUUUUAUUUUAAAAAUAGAUGCAACAGUAAAUAUGUAUCACCACUUCUGUGAUUUCUUCAAUUUGUAUGCUUCCUUGCAUUUAAACGCUACACAAGAGGAUGCAUUUUCCACAAACGUCCAUAUCUUGAUAUGGGAGAGCUUUACAUACAGAUCAGCUUUUCAAGAUACUUGGGACGCAUUCACAGAUCACCAGUUAUGGGAUUUAAAAACAUUCAAAGGUAAAACGGUCUGUUUUAAGAAUGUUGUAUUCCCUCUUCUACCAAGGAUGAUUUAUGGUCUGUAUUAUAACACCCCUAUCAUUUAUGGCUGUGAAAAGAGUGGACUAGUUGAUGCUUUUUCUAAGCAUGUUUUACAUAGGUUAAGAAUACCUGAGUAUACAAGGACCAACAAAAAAAUUCGUAUUACAUUUUUAUCAAGAGAAACAAAAUUUAGAAGAAUUUUAAACGAGAGGGAACUAGUAGAUGCCUUACAACAAGACGAAAAUUAUGAUGUUCAGUUAGUAGUGUUUAGCAGAGACGUGCCUUUUAAGAAGCAGUUGGAGAUUGCUAGGAAUUCGGACGUCUUUGUGGGAAUCCAUGGGGCUGGUUUGACCCAUUUGCUGUUUCUGCCAGAGUGGGCCGCUGUAUUUGAGGUAUAUAAUUGUCAGGACAGUAAUUGUUAUUUUGAUUUGGCUCGAUUGAAAGGUGUUAAGUACCUCACUUGGGAGGACACUAAUAAAUUGACUAGUAUAACUGAGGGUUCUUAUUCCGGAGGUUCGCCUGCAAAGUUUGUUAAUUACAAAAUGGAUACGACAGAAUUUGUCAGGAUUGUAAAUAAAGCUGCUGAACAUGUUAGAAGUCAUCCAAAGUUUCAGGAGCACCUCGAGCAUAGCCCAGCAGAUACAGAAGAUCUCUCAAAUGUUACAGAUACAGACAGACUUCACGAAGAACUUUAACAUAAGGUUCACCCAGCUGUUCAACUUGUUCCUGAAGACUUUUAACCUCAGAUUCUUCAUUUCAAUGAACGUCUUCAUGAGCAAGUUAGAGUUUAAUCUUCGCGACAUUCAACAACUACAUAAUUUGUGACGUAUUGCAACUUCUCUUUCCUUUUAUCAGCUUAUUCAUGAGAAUCUUUAACUUCAAGUCAGCUCACUAGGCAACUUUUCUACUAAGAAUAAUAACUUCAUAUUUAUCUGACAGUUGAAUGUCUACUCGUACAUGCACGAUUUAUGCCUGGUUGCACCAACAGAUCUUAGGCUCCAGCUUAGCCCAGCUCAGCUUAUACUUUAAUGGUGGGGCCACACUAGCGUCUAAUACCGUUAAUUAUUUGCAUUGUAAAUAUGUCAAAUAAUGCGAUAAUUAACGGCAUUAGGCGCUAGUGUGGCCCUAUCAUAAGGAUUUACAUUUAUAUUUAAGCUUAAGGUAAGUCUUAAGCUUAAUAUCUGUUGGUGCAACCAGGCAUUAAACUUGAUUUUCAUAUUUCUUAUUGUUUUGACAAAGUUUAUGACGAACUGGAAGAAUUUAUCUUCAAGUUCAGCACAUCUUAUAGUCUCCAGUGCACCAUCCUUUUUUGAAAGUGAUUACAAAAGUCUUAAAAAUGGUUUUAACUGCUUCAUUUGAGCGAGUCAACCACUUUCUGAAAAUUUUCAGAGUGCAGGUUGGACGCUUUUACGCAAGCACAACACAUAAAGGACAUCGCACACAUCUUAUGGAAAAUACAAUGUCACUCAAAUGAAAUAAAAUUUACAUGAAUAGAUGCGUCCUGAAAUUUCAAUAAUUUGAUACCAUUGCGCCAACUCUGUAUUUUGAUUAACGUAAAUUGAUAAAUCUAAAAUCGAAUAGGAAUUGUGGAAAUAGGAAAAGUGUGUCAAAGAGAGAAAAAAGAUCUUGUGAUUCGCUUACUCCAUAAAUCUUUCUCGAGGGAUUAAGGCAGAGGCUUACUCUUAUCUUUUCCUAUUAUUAUUGAUAAUAAAGUAGGUAUAAUUUGGUUAAUUGUACCGCCUCUAAUCGGCUUAAGCUAGUGGUGAAUAGACUGUAUUCAAUAGCUUCUAGACUAAUAUUAUUUAUGAAUGCCAGUUUUAUGGACUUCAAAAUGCGAUUUCGAUAAACUAAUUACAAUUAACGCACUAAUUAAGCAAAAUUCAGAGUAGGCGCAAUGAUAUAAAAAUUAUUGAAAUUUCAGGACGCAUCUAUUCAUGUAAAUUUUAUUUCAUCUGAGUGACAUUAUAUUUUCCAUAAGAUGUGUGCGGUGUCCUUUGCAGCUCUAGCGUGGUUAUGUUUUGUUAUUGCAAAACUAUAAUUUUUAAUUUUAACAAAAGAUUACACGUUAAAAUAAAAUAAAUUAUUUUUGUCGGACAAUAAAGAGGCAGCGAUCGUAGAGUCCGACACCUGCAAGAUGUCACUCUAGCGCGGUAAAGUUUUGUUAUUACUUUAAUUAAUCUUUUGUAAUUAUUUAUAUGUACUUUUAAUUAAAAGAGUUUUGUAAGAACAAACAAAACUCUACCGCAUACCGCGCUAGAGUGACAUCUUGCAGUGCGCUUAUUCUUGAAUCGGGAGAAAAUUUUACUCACCACUAAGCUAACUCGCUUUUCUACUCCUUCAUAAUUUCUCUCGAUUUUUAAAAAGCUGUAUUCUUGAUAGGGGGAGUAGAAAGCGAGAAGAGAAACUGCGAACAGUGUUGCCGGCUGUUUAUCGAAAGUUUCAACCAAUCACAAGAGUUAAUUCUUGGCAAAUGACAUGGACAUGAUACCGUCAGUGACCAAGGUUAAUAGAUUAUUGCAUAAUAGACUAUCUAUGAACCUUGGUCAGUGACAGGUGACAGCAAAAUUAAGGCGAACGGGUGAAUUAAGGUGAACGGGUGAAUACUUAUUUGAUGAGUUGUAUUUGGUUAAGUAGCGGGAUGUGUAAAUAUUUAAGUUCUUGUAAAUGUUUAUAUUGUAUUAACGACUAAUUAUAGAGAUGUUUUUUGUUCUUUUUGAGUAAUUUAGAUAGGUACUAAUGCUAUGGGUACAUAAUUCGCAAAUAUUUUACGUGUAUCCCUACUUUUUCUGUCUUUACACGGCAAAUUACGUGUAGUAAAAUUCACACUGGUAUGGAUAUGUAAACAGUACUAGAAUGUCAUU
rnacentral:misc_RNA from 1 species